rnacentral:rRNA from 1 species
CCUACGGGAGGCAGCAGUGAGGAAUAUUGGUCAAUGGGCGUAAGCCUGAACCAGCCAAGUCGCGUGAAGGAUGAAGGUUCUACGGAUUGUAAACUUCUUUUAUAAGGGAAUAAAGUGAGGCACGUGUGCCGUUUUGUAUGUACUUUAUGAAUAAGGAUCGGCUAACUCCGUGCCAGCAGCCGCGGUAAUACGGAGGAUCCGAGCGUUAUCCGGAUUUAUUGGGUUUAAAGGGUGCGUAGGUGGCCUUUUAAGUCAGCGGUGAAAGUCUGUGGCUCAACCGUAGAAUUGCCGUUGAAACUGGCAGUCUUGAGUAUAGUUGAGGUAGGCGGAAUGCGUGGUGUAGCGGUGAAAUGCUUAGAUAUCACGCAGAACCCCGAUUGCGAAGGCAGCUUACCAAGC